CGCGUGCUGCUUGGGCUGGUGCCAGCUUGAUGCUGCUGCUGCUCAUGCCAUUUGCAAGCGCGCUGGUUGGGAAGCAGAGUAGCGCGUGUGGUGGUGCAGGUUGAUGCUCAAGUAGUGCUUGUUAACGGGAACAAUGUCGCAGAUACCAUUUCCAAUCUUGUUGCUCAGCACUAGAUACAGAUCCUCGUCGUCGGUGCCAGCAGGGGCUCCUUCAAUAGGACGUCCUCCAAAAUCUGUAAGGGUGUCCCCAGCUUUUGCACAGCGUAUGUUGUUUCAAAGGAUGAAUCGUCUUCGGUUUACAUUCCGGGAUCAAAGAUUGACGUGACCUCUGGCUCUGGGGUACCGAAAGGCAACUCCAGCAGCUCCAACACCGAAGUAUUUUCAGAGGAUUCGUCCCUGGUAUCAGAGUUGUAUGGAGUGUCGAGGACUUGUAGCUUGGGGUGGCCACAGGUUGCAGGCUAUCAUGAUGUGUUGGAUAUGUUCUUCAGAGAACAGGUGAUGUACUAACGACAGGUCCUGAAUUACACACUUCUAAAUUUUGAGGGAAUUCUUUUCUUUGUAAGCAUUCUUGACCCCCUGUUGAUUCUCAGUACUUAAUUUACUGCCGCAUGUCUUAGGCUCACGAUUUCAAACUAAGAACCAUUUUUGCUGAUGUAGGCAUUGCUCAGCCUUUGUUUCUGUUCCA